rnacentral:rRNA from 1 species
CCGGCGAUGUCCGAAUGGGGAAACCCAGUGCAAUUCGUUGCACUAUCGUUAACUGAAUACAUAGGUUAACGAGGCGAACCGGGGGAACUGAAACAUCUAAGUACCCCGAGGAAAAGAAAUCAACCGAGAUUCCCCCAGUAGCGGCGAGCGAACGGGGAGCAGCCCAGAGUCUGAAUCAGCUUGUGUGUUAGUGGAACGGUCUGGAAAGUCCGACGGUACAGGGUGAUAGUCCCGUACACCAAAAUGCACAGGUUGUGAACUCGAAGAGUAGGGCGGGACACGUGGUAUCCUGUCUGAAUAUGGGGGGACCAUCCUCCAAGGCUAAAUACUCCUGACUGACCGAUAGUGAACCAGUACCGUGAGGGAAAGGCGAAAAGAACCCCGGCGAGGGGAGUGAAAAAGAACCUGAAACCGUGUACGUACAAGCAGUGGGAGCACCUUCGGGUGUGACUGCGUACCUUUUGUAUAAUGGGUCAGCGACUUAUAUUCUGUAGCAAGGUUAACCGUAUAGGGGAGCCGCAGGGAAACCGAGUCUUAACUGGGCGUUAAGUUGCAGGGUAUAGACCCGAAACCCGGUGAUCUAGCCAUGGGCAGGUUGAAGGUUGGGUAACACUAACUGGAGGACCGAACCGACUAAUGUUGAAAAAUUAGCGGAUGACUUGUGGCUGGGGGUGAAAGGCCAAUCAAACCGGGAGAUAGCUGGUUCUCCCCGAAAGCUAUUUAGGUAGCGCCUCGUGAAUUCAUCUUCGGGGGUAGAGCACUGUUUCGGCUAGGGGGUCAUCCCGACUUACCAACCCGAUGCAAACUACGAAUACCGAAGAAUGUUAUCACGGGAGACACACGGCGGGUGCUAACGUCCGUCGUGAAGAGGGAAACAACCCAGACCGCCAGCUAAGGUCCCAAAGUCAUGGUUAAGUGGGAAACGAUGUGGGAAGGCACAGACAGCCAGGAUGUUGGCUUAGAAGCAGCCAUCAUUUAAAGAAAGCGUAAUAGCUCACUGGUCGAGUCGGCCUGCGCGGAAGAUGUAACGGGGCUAAACCAUGCACCGAAGCUGCGGCAGCGACACUAUGUGUUGUUGGGUAGGGGAGCGUUCUGUAAGCCUGCGAAGGUGACCUGUGAGGGUUGCUGGAGGUAUCAGAAGUGCGAAUGCUGACAUAAGUAACGAUAAAGCGGGUGAAAAGCCCGCUCGCCGGAAGACCAAGGGUUCCUGUCCAACGUUAAUCGGGGCAGGGUGAGUCGACCCCUAAGGCGAGGCCGAAAGGCGUAGUCGAUGGGAAACAGGUUAAUAUUCCUGUACUUGGUGUUACUGCGAAGGGGGGACGGAGAAGGCUAUGUUAGCCGGGCGACGGUUGUCCCGGUUUAAGCAUGUAGGCUGGUUGUCCAGGCAAAUCCGGAUAAUCAAGGCUGAGGUGUGAUGACGAGGCACUACGGUGCUGAAGUAACAAAUGCCCUGCUUCCAGGAAAAGCCUCUAAGCAUCAGGUAACAUCAAAUCGUACCCCAAACCGACACAGGUGGUCAGGUAGAGAAUACCAAGGCGCUUGAGAGAACUCGGGUGAAGGAACUAGGCAAAAUGGUGCCGUAACUUCGGGAGAAGGCACGCUGGUGUGUAGGUGAAGUCCCUGCGGAUGGAGCUGAGACCAGUCGAAGAUACCAGCUGGCUGCAACUGUUUAUUAAAAACACAGCACUGUGCAAACACGAAAGUGGACGUAUACGGUGUGACGCCUGCCCGGUGCCGGAAGGUUAAUUGAUGGGGUUAUCCGUAAGGAGAAGCUCUUGAUCGAAGCCCCGGUAAACGGCGGCCGUAACUAUAACGGUCCUAAGGUAGCGAAAUUCCUUGUCGGGUAAGUUCCGACCUGCACGAAUGGCGUAAUGAUGGCCAGGCUGUCUCCACCCGAGACUCAGUGAAAUUGAACUCGCUGUGAAGAUGCAGUGUACCCGCGGCAAGACGGAAAGACCCCGUGAACCUUUACUAUAGCUUGACACUGAACAUUGAGCCUUGAUGUGUAGGAUAGGUGGGAGGCUUUGAAGCGUGGACGCCAGUCUGCGUGGAGCCAACCUUGAAAUACCACCCUUUAAUGUUUGAUGUUCUAACGUUGGCCCCUUACCGGGGUUGCGGACAGUGUCUGGUGGGUAGUUUGACUGGGGCGGUCUCCUCCCAAAGCGUAACGGAGGAGCACGAAGGUUAGCUAAUCCUGGUCGGACAUCAGGAGGUUAGUGCAAUGGCAUAAGCUAGCUUGACUGCGAGCGUGACGGCGCGAGCAGGUGCGAAAGCAGGUCAUAGUGAUCCGGUGGUUCUGAAUGGAAGGGCCAUCGCUCAACGGAUAAAAGGUACUCCGGGGAUAACAGGCUGAUACCGCCCAAGAGUUCAUAUCGACGGCGGUGUUUGGCACCUCGAUGUCGGCUCAUCACAUCCUGGGGCUGAAGUAGGUCCCAAGGGUAUGGCUGUUCGCCAUUUAAAGUGGUACGCGAGCUGGGUUUAGAACGUCGUGAGACAGUUCGGUCCCUAUCUGCCGUGGGCGCUGGAGAAUUGAGGGGGGCUGCUCCUAGUACGAGAGGACCGGAGUGGACGCAUCACUGGUGUUCGGGUUGUCAUGCCAAUGGCACUGCCCGGUAGCUAAAUGCGGAAGAGAUAAGUGCUGAAAGCAUCUAAGCACGAAACUUGCCCCGAGAUGAGUUCUCCCUGAGACUUUAAGUCUCCUGAAGGAACGUUGAAGACGACGACGUUGAUAGGCCGGGUGUGUAAGCGCAGCGAUGCGUUGAGCUAACCGGUACUAAUGAACCGUGAGGCUUAACCUUACAACGCCGAAG